AUUGAACGCUGGCGGCAGGCCUAACACAUGCAAGUCGAGCGAGUGGAGGCCGGGUGAUUAAUGUAUGGGGACUGCCCGAUAGAGGGUGAUAACUACUGGAAACGGUGGCUAUUACCGCAUACUAUUGGAUAACCCAUAUGGGAUUAGCGAGUAGGUGGGGUAAAGGUGCACUUAGGCGACGAUCUCUAGCUGGUCUGAGAGGAUGAUAAGCGACACGGGGACUGAGACACGGACCGGACUCCUACGGAGUCAGCAGUGGGGAAGAGUGCAAAAUGGGCACAAGGCUGAUGCAGCCAUGCCGCGUGUAUGAAGAAGGCCUUAGGGUUGUAAAGUACUUGAAGCGGGGAGGCGGUACCCGGAGAAGAAGCACCGGCUAACUACGUGCCAGCAGCCGCGGUAAUAC
rnacentral:rRNA from 1 species